rnacentral:rRNA from 1 species
UACGAAGGGGGCUAGCGUUGCUCGGAAUCACUGGGCGUAAAGGGCGCGUAGGCGGAUCUUUAAGUCGGGGGUGAAAGCCUGAGGCUCAACCUCAGAAUUGCCUUCGAUACUGGAGAUCUUGAGACCGGAAGAGGUAAGUGGAACUGCGAGUGUAGAGGUGAAAUUCGUAGAUAUUCGCAAGAACACCAGUGGCGAAGGCGGCUUACUGGUCCGGUUCUGACGCUGAGGCGCGAAGGCGCGGGGAGCGAACGGG